CUCCUUCAAAUCUUCAUACUUCAAGAAUAAGACCUUUUCAGGAUGUUCUUGGCUUGCCUUCCAAUAUCCUGCAACAUGAUCCCAAUAAGGUCCAUUUAAAGCAAUUCCUUCGCAAAAUGACUCGAAGGAAUCAUCCAUGCUGCAAUAUGCAUCUUUAUCGAUUCCUUCAGGUAAUCUUGCUCUCAAGAAAUGCCACAUUGAUACUAACACAUCCUUAGGAUCCCUGCAAAAAUACACCAUUUUACAUCCCAAUGCUGUUAUAGAAGUUGGCAGGGAACCAUAAGGAAUAUGUGUAGCUACAAGUGGAUUUUCUGGAUCACGAAUACAAGCUUUUUUUGUACCAAUUUCAACUUCCAGAAAAGGAACACAAUCGUGUGGUGUAGAUGUCAACAAAGGGCUUUCGCUAAUGCUAUAACGAGAACGUGUAGUAAUUGCAAAAGCUAAGGCCUUAAGCCAAGUUGUGCCGGUUUUAGGAUAAGUACAUAAGACAAGAUCAUCAGGUUGAGCUUGAAAUUUUUCUUGAGCAGCUAACAAUGCCUCUAGAUAAACAGUGAAGUACCAAAAGCCUUGGUAUUGGUGAAGAGGCAUGAAUUUCCAAUCAUUUCUUGCGGGUAGGGUGGAGAUAAGCUCACUGUAGUUGCUUUGAGGCAGGGAAAUUUGUGGUCCUCCUUCCUUGUCUUCAUGGACAAGGGGGAGUGCUUUGUUCAAUCUCGACUGCCGCAGUUGCACGAUGCUGGACACCCUUUGUUGUGAACCACCCCAUUGUGGAACCAACAUAGGGCGUACACCAAUGUUUUUCGAGGACUGUGAGGUUAUCACAUUUGUUGGGACUCCAUUCACAAUUCGUCCAUAAACAAGAUCCAUUUGGGAAUGAAAGAAAAAAAAGAAGCAAAUUUAAGUAAGAAUGCUUUGAUGGAGUAAUAGCCAAAUGAUAAAUGGAUCGAGCUGGUGACAAUGGAGGAUGAAAGGAUCCUAUAUUUAUAAUACAAGUAACAGCUCUUUUAAAAUAAAAUAAAAUAAAAUAAAACAAUUAACUAGUGGCAGCUAAAUCAGACUUCAUGCCGCCUAGAUUGAAGUAGAUAAAUUAAUCCCUAAUUUAAAGAUUUCAGGCCGCCUUAAUUUCAAUUAACAAAAAAAAAUUGGGCGCUCUUUCAGUAGACUUGGAUUGAUAAAAAAAAUAGUAUACUACACCCUCGGUAGUCCCUUCGAAGUAAGAGGUAAUUGAUUAAUUAAUUUUUUUUUCUGAAUUAUUUAGUUUUGAUUCUGACUAAAUCUGAUUUAAUUUAAUUUUAGUUUACAUCUAUCAUUUGGUAUGGUCAAUAUCGGUACCUUCUUGAUAUAAUAUAAUUAUCUGAUAUUAUUCUAUAUUUGCACAGAUACAUCUGUUUCAUUAUUGAAUAUCUUCUUAUUCUUUUUUUUUUUUUUUUCUAUGAUGGCCUUGGUUAGAAUUAAUUAUUCAUAUAUGUCCUUGCUGUUCUAGUGUAGUAGUUGUUGAUUGAAUGGUUGAUUUUUAAAUUUUAUGCAAUUUGCAGGUAUUUUCCAGAUUUUCUUAUUUUAACUUGGUAAUACUUCCCUUAAAAUCUCUUCCAAGGCAUUAUACAUUCAAUGCAUGUUUCUCUUCUGUAUUCAGUAGAUCGGAUGUAUGUAAUUACAGUACCGCAAAAAAGUGGCUUGUCUCCACUUCAGGUAAAUGCAUCUUUUCAUCAUAUGUUUUUCCUCACACCAAUUAAUAAUAAAUAAAAGAUUUUCUUUAUUAUCGAAUAUUUUGAUACAUAUUCUUUUGCAUCUAUUUUUGGCUUGAAGGCUUUGACAUUGCAUUACUAUUCGUUAUCACUGUAUUUGUUGUUAAGAGCUAAAAUAGAGUCUUGUGUUAGCAGUAACCGAAUAUAAUGAUGAAUAAUGAUGAUACUGGUAAUAUAUAGAUAGAUGAAAAAAAAAAAUUUAUCAGAUUAAAACAUCGAGGUUCAGCUUAGACUUUUAAAAGUUAAAGAUGCUGAAAAAGAAAUAUCAUUAAAACUAAUGCUUAAGAAAACACGUUAAAAACUGGUGAAAAGUUUAAUUAUAAGUGAUCUUCAAGUGAGAAUACAGCACUGAAGCUGGCAACUAGGGCAAGCACCGAGAAUUUCUUGGAGCAAUCUGACGAGCAUUUCUUUCACUGUACAAAUGGAAGACUUUCAGGCAGAUAAGUGGCCAUUCAUUAAGAUAAAUUUCUCUGGUAUUACCGUUGUUCCAAUAAGGUAGGAUUCUUAUCUGUUCUUAUCCACCUCCUAGUGUUGUGAAACAUGAAGCGCAAAGACUCAAAGUCCUGUCUGAGCAGCAUAAACGAGGUAAGGCUGCAAGCCUAGUGAGAAAAAUGAAUAAAUGGGAGAAAGAGGAAUCGGCUCUCCAAGUAAACUGUCUAAUUCUGGGUGGUACUUGAAUUCGCCAAAUGGGAUCAGGGGUACUUGUUAAAUAUCUGGCAUUGGCAGUUGUUAACAAAGAGUUGUUCCUUUCAUAAUCAGCUGAAGCCAAAAGACUUCACCAAAGGAAAAUUCGGAUGAUUUGCUUAACUUUUUUUGGGUGCUACUAUUUUUAUUUUUAUUUUAAUAAUUGGUACCAAAAAAAUAUCUAUACCAAUUGGAUAUAAUGACCAACGAUUUGAUAUCAACGAAGUAAUUUUUCUGAAAACUAAGAUUGAUAAUCCAUUAUAAUACUUGGCUUUAAGCAUUUGGAGCUAAAGCGUUAGCAUGAGCCCCGAAUUUCCAUGCCUGCUUAGUUAUUAAUACGAACUCACUCGAAAAGAUACCUCCAUGCGAGCAAGAGCUCGCCACAGGAAGACAUGUCGAGCGGACCCUUAGAUCAGUCGUGUUUAGAGCUAGCGCAAGAUAAUAGAAGCCUACUCCAGCACGACUUCAUCUCCUACAAACUUGAAAGAGGACUCUAAUAGUUGUUAUUCAGUAAAUAAAGGACUUUAUCCCACUUAUGAUAACUCUAUCUCUGAUAAUGAAAGAAACAUAUCGCUAGUAAACUACUCUAUCUCAACAUCUAUAGAUAUGGAUAAUACAUGUCACAACCCGAUCUGUGGGCCCGUGACCGGUACUAGGAAAUGGGUAGGCGUAAGGCCACUGAAUCUCGUAGUAAGCCCGACCAUUCACUAACUUAAUCAAAUUGAAACUCGGACUCAACUCAAAAUACUAAUUCACAAUUAACCUUAAUAUCAAAUUCUACAUAUUUAAUUUGGUAUGCCAGCAUAAUUAGGCAAGACCCUAAUUUACAUGAAAUUACAAACUAAUAAGUCUAAAAUUUCUACUGUGGAGAAUCUAGAAUUUUAGAAGUUAACAUACAAAUAAAUUUAGUUACAUCUAACCCGAUAAUAAAGAAGUCGGGCUGCUAGAGAAAAAAACUGCAAAAAACUAACUACACCUGAAUGCUAUAAAAUUGAGACUGUCAGUCUCGAGAGUGAGUUAAAAUCAUAUAUCUCACAACGAAUAUAAAUACUUCAAUAAAAUAUUUGUUUAAUUAAAAUAAAAAUACGUGUCAUGUUAUGCUUUUGUAAAAUAAAAUAAAUUUUAUUGCAUAUUACCGGACGGAGUAUCUCAGCAUAACCUUAGCUCCAACACUAACGGUUUCUACUCUCUCAUUCCAACAGAAUUGAUGUCCAGAGAGUGAAGCUCGACCAGGAUCCUUAAAUCUAGUCCGGUCACUUAAUUAUCACUAAUAGUCUUUAGCCUUUCGGCUCUCUUACUCUAAUAAGACNNNUGCUCAGAGAGCAAUGCUCGACCAUGGACCUUACUUCGGCAACACACUCUUAUUUCUUAAGUUUGGUGUACCUCCUCACCUAUAUACCAAACUGAUAAAUAAUUGACACAAAUUAAUUAGUUUUAAAUAAUAAAAUAUAUAUCAAUCAUCUAAUACUAAAGUGUAAAACAUUUAUAAUAUAUAUCAUUUUUCUUUUUAUUGUGGUGAACUAAGCUUAGAUAAGAAUUUCUCAUAUUAAAGUUACUAAAACAUCAGUUGUCGAUAACACAUUUAUUGCCUUUGAAAAAGUCUUCUAUUAUUAAAGGUGGCAAAUUCUACUUAUUUAUAUUUAUCCAUUUUAAUCCAAUUUUAUUAUAUAAAUAAAUAAUAUAUAAAAUUUAAAUAAAUUAUAAAAAAUAAAAAAUAAUCAUCAUUAUUUACAUGAUUUAGAUCGCAUCAGAAAUAAAUACUCACUAAUAAACCAUCUUAUUAAUUUAUUUUCCUAAAAUUGAAUACAAAUCCAACACUCAUUUAUCAAUAGACAUCAUCAAACACCUGAUAAACUAAUCUUACUUCUGUAUUGUUCUAGAUUCGUAAUUGGGAUUAUCAUUUCUUGCUCUUGCUUCAAGAUUUCUAUAAUUGAUAAAAACUUUUGAUACUAUUUUCCACUUCUGUUAUAUAUAUAUAUAUAUAUAUAUAUAUAUAUAUAUAUAUAUAUAUUAGCAGAAUUGUUAUUAUUAUUAUUUUUUGUUGUUCUUGAACAUGCACCUCAUUUUGAGUUGUCUUCUUGCAGUUUUUUGAUUUGUUUUUUUUUUUUUCUUUUUAAAGUGUGUUGAUGUCUCUUUGAUUAGUGCUUACUCAAUAUUUUUAAUUUAAUAGGGUACUCUGUAGAAACGAUCACUCACAUUCUUCUUAAAUUUUUCAAUUUUGAUUAAGAAUCAAAUGCGGCUUUUGUUGGUAUACUAGGAAUUCAAACUUUCUUUUCUUUUAGUUUUUGAACAGUUUAUAUUUAAAAUAAUUCAAACUUUAAUUAGUGUAAAAACACCAACAAACCCAAAAGUGAAGAAACCUUAAAAUAAAAAUCGGCCCGAAAACUUGUAAAAAAGAAUCAGCUCAAAAAGAAUUAAAUUGAAAAAUAUAUUACUUAGUGAAAAUAAGAUCUAUAGUAAUAAUAUAAUAUAUUAAAACUAGUUUCUUAAGAAAAUAUUAAAAUAAUUAGAUUAAUAAUAAUUUAUUAAAUAAGCUACUAAAAAUUUAUAUGAGUUAUAUGAUUGGAUAAUUAUAUAAAUUUUAAAUGAAUUAUAUUCAUUUAAUGAUGGAUUUAGAUGGACGUUAAACUUUAAAUAUAUAUUUUAUAAUAUUUAUAUAUAAUAAUAUUAAAUAUUAAAAAGGAUUGAUCGAUUAAAUAUGAAUCGAAAACUGAGCCUUGAUUGAUUUCACUUUAACUAAUAAAAAAAAAUAGCAGGAGCAAAAAGUUUCACAAAAGAAUUCGUCUAACCGAUCAAAGAAUUCUAUCUCUUUUUCUCAUUGAUAAUUGUAACCAUGUAACCAUAUACAUAUAAAAUGACUUUAAUGGAAUGCCAAUCUGUGGGCUUAAUUUAAAAAGUCUCUAUUCCUUAGUAAUUAAAAUCUAAAGAUUUAUGAACCAAUACGUAUUUGACUAGCCAAGCGGACAAAUGACUCUAUAUUUUUACAAACCAAGAUAUAUAUAUAUAUAUUAGUGUCGUUCGUAAUGGAAAGAAAGAUACCACUACUUGGCCUCUUUGUUGGACCGCCGGCGCGAACACAGUGGUCUCUGACCAGGACCAGGAACCAAUUCAAAUUUGGAUCUUGACAUGUUGGUGGUUUUUAACCGUAGGCAUCUUGCCAGGAACCCAUGAACCGUCUGUUAUAUGCAAAAUUAAUAUGAGUAUUAAAAUACCACAUGCAAUGUACCAAGUCAACAUUACAUUCAUAAGCCAAAAAUAAUCCUAACAGUUCCUCCCACUUUGAAAAGUAAAAUAACAAACAAUUGUAGAUAAUUUUUUUUCUUAUUUUUUUAUUUUUAAGAAAAUAAAAGUUUUUAUAUUUUCUAUAUAAGAUUUCUAUAAUAUAUUUAUUUAUUAUUAUUAUAAAAUAUAUUUAUUUUUUAUUUAAAUAAUAUUUUAAGUAUAAAAAGUAAAUUAUAAAUCAAAUAAAAAUUCUUUAUUAUUUAAAAACUAGUGAUCUUUUAUAUAAAUAAAAAUAUAUAAAUUUUUUUCAAAGUUUACUUAUAAAUUCUGAAAAUACAAAAAAAAAUUAUUUUAUUUCAAAAAAUAAUAUAAGUAAAUUUAAAAUUCUGUUGUUAUUUUUAUUUAAAAUUAUUUUUAUAAAAUUAAUAUAAUCUAUAAAUAUAAAUACACCGUAAAACUUCUCAUUUUGCUACGUGAGAAAUAUUUCUUCCCAUAUUUUACCAUCAAAUAGUAUAUUUUUCCUUUUAAUUAAUUAAUAUAAAUAAAGUUUUCUUUUCAUCAAAAGAAAAUGAUUUACUAAAAUUUUAUAUCAUGAAUAUCGUUAAUAACUUUUUCUUACAUAUGUAACGUUAAUCAGAAAGAGAGAAAAUAAGAGAAGUAAAAUAUUUAGAUUAAAAUUAUUUAUAACAAAAAUUAAUAAGUUUAGAAUUCAUUAGAAGAUAUUUUAAAUUUUAUAAAAUUUAAUUUAAUUAAUAAUUAAUUUUUAUAAAUUUAAUAAGAAAAUAUCUUAAUUUUUUUUUAAAAACAAAUUUUAUAAAAAUUUAUAGAAUUUGUUAAUAUCAAAUGCAAAGUAAAAGAAUCAUAUUUCAUUCUAUUGAAAAAGAAGGAAAAAGAAGAAAGAAAUAUGUGUACCAUAUGAAAGCAAAUUGAAUUAGUUAUGAGCCAUAUUUCUUAAUAGCAGAACUCUUAUUUCACUUGCAUAAUAAUGUUACAACAAUAAAUAUAAAACAACAGAAAAAUCAAAGGAAAGAAAAGGCAAAAUUAAUCGAACCUACAUAACAAGUUGCGCAUGCUUCUGCACCAUAUUUCCUAUAUUAGUUUUCGCUCUUAUUUUCAUAGUCUAGCUAUGUAGAUAAAGAUUUUAUUAAUUUUCUUUCAAACCUCAGUUACUUGAAUGUCGAGAAAGAAAGGAGAAGCCGGAAUCAUUUAGUUUUUCUUCAACAAUUUGAUCUAAACAAGCACCCAUUUCUUCAGUAAAAUAAUUCUUCCAAUCUCCACUCUUACCUUUCCGAUAGUAUAAACUAUUUUUCAUAGUAAAUGGAGAGUCUGGACUGUAAACACCGUUUUCUGUUACUUUUGAAUUUUUUAAACUCUCAAAACUGCAUAAAUCAAUGAUUUGGUGCACUACUCCUUGUUUCUCUUCCUCUAAAGUAAAGGGAUAUCCAAGAAAGUUAGCUAGUUUCUUAACAUUGAAAACAAUGUCCUCCUUCAAAUCUUCGUAUUGCAAGAAUAAAACCUUCUCAGGAUACUCUUGGCUUGCCUUCCAAUACCCUGCAACAUGAUCCCAAUAAGGUCCAUUUAAAGCAACUCCUUCACAAAACGACUCGAAAGAAUCAGCCAUGUUGCAAUAUGCAUCUUUGUCGAUUCCUUCUGGUAAUCUUGCUCUUAAGAAAUGCCACAUUGAUACUAACACAUCUUUAGGAUCCCUGCAUAAAUACACUAUUUUACAUCCCAAUGUUGUUAUAGAAAUUGGCAAGGAAUUAUAAGGAAUAUGUGUAGCUACAAGUGGGUUUUCUGGGUCACGAACACAAGUGUCUUUUGUACCAAUAUCAAUUUCAAGAAAAGGAACACAAUCAUGUGGUGUAGAUGUCAGCAAAGGGCUUUUAGAAAUGCUGUAACGAGAGCGUGUAACAAUAGCAAAAGCUAAAGCUUUAAUCCAAGUUGUGCCAGUUUUAGGGUAAGUACAUAAGAUAAUAUCAUCGGGCUGAGCUUGGAAUUUUUCUUGAGCAGCUAAUAAUGCCUCUAGGUAAACGGUGAAGUACCAAGAGCCUUGGUAUUGGUGAAGAGGCAUGAAUUUCCAAUCAUUUCUUGCGGGCAGGGUUGAGAUGAGCUCACUGUACUUGCUCUGAGGCAGUGAAAUUUGCUGCCCUCCAUUCUUGUGGUCUUCAUGGACAACGAGAGCUGCAUUUGUCAUUUCUCCAUUAUGCAUAUCCAUUUAGAGAAGUGGCGAAGGUAGGAAAUAAGAAGAUGAAGGAAAUGUUAAGUUGGAAUGUUUUUGUGGUGCGCUGAGCGUAUGAUGAAUGGAGUUUGUGAAAAUGGAGAUUGAAGGAUCCCAUAUUUAUAGUACUUAGUGCCGGUUCAUUCAGGUCGCCUCGAUUGAAAUAGUGAAAUCAAUUCGUCAAUAUUAACAACCCGCCUUUCAAUUGACUUGCUCGCUCAAUCAGGCCUCUGUCCUUUCCUCUGCUUGUUCUUUCCUGAGGCUGUAGAACCAACUUUUCUUGGAACCGCAUGGAAUUUUCAAAUUUCUCGGGUGCGUGCGUCUUUCCCCGUGAAUCGAGGUUGUCAAAUUGUUGAAUUGUCCCGAGAAACAGAAAGAUAAUAAUAAAUGGUAAUUAAUUGGCACGAGUUGUUAUUAAUUUAAUAAUAAAUAUAAAAACUAGUACUUUUCUAUUUUAAAAAACUAUAUAUAAAAAAUAAUAAUAUAUUAAAUGCAUGUAACAAAACUUUAAUAAACGGUAUUAUUUAAUAUUUUAUAACUAUUUUUAAUUAAAUUAUUUUUUCAAUAUUAUCAGUUAGUAGAUAGAUCAUAUUUAUGAAUUAAUAAUAUAAAAUAAUUAAUUUUCUAUUUUCAAAAUUAAAAUAAUUAUUUAAUGAGAAAUCAAAAAAUAAUUAUUCAAUAAAAAACUAAGUCAGUAGUUAAUGUAUACACUAAAUACAGUAGCAUUAAAAAUAAAUAAAUAUUUUAUUUUACUUAUUAUUUUAUAUAUAAAGUAAUCUGAUUUUAUAAUAUAUCAGUAUAUUCAAUAAAAUAAAUUAGAAAUAAGUGAAAAGUUUAGUUAAAUAUAGUAGAAAGGAAAGUUAAAUAAUAUAAUAAUUUAUUAUUAUUAUUAUUAUUAUUAUUGUUAUAUUAUGAUAUAUAUAUAUAUAUAUAUAUAUAUAGGUUGCAUAAUUUUGACUGACGUAAGGAGCUGAACUGAAUUGUGAACCAGUUUGUUUUGGAUUGUCUAAAGGGACCCCUACAUAUCCAAUGGCAAGCGCGCCCAAAAUUUUAUUUUAUAGCUUUUUUCUUAUAAUUUUAUUUUUUAUAUUUUUAGAUUUUAUUUAUAUAAACUUUUUAAUGCUCCAUUAUAGUAUUGUUUUGAUAUUUUUUAGUAUAUUUUUAUACCAUUAACUAUAUUUUUAGAUUUUAUUUUAAAUAUAUUUUUAUUAUAUUUUAAUAAUAUUAUAUGAUAUUAUUUUUUAAAAUAUACAUACUCGUAUUAUCAAAAGACACUAAUUACUAUAAACAUAUUUAAUUGAUUAAAUACCAUAAAAAUAUAAAAUAAAAAAUAAUAAUUCAUUCUAUCAGUAUUUUAUAGGUAUAUUUUUAAUAUUUUUUCGUUAUGAACUUCUAAAAGAUAAAUUCAUAAUAACAUAAGUUAAAAUACAAUAAAUUUUUGAUAUUUUUGAAAUAUAUUGUUGAAAAGGGAAAAAAAAAUACUUUAUCUUAUUUUUCAUAUUAGAUUGUUCCGUUAUGUGCAAAGCUUCUUUAAGCUGUUUGAGUUCCCUUGGUUGGAUAUGGAUCUACUAGAUCAAAAUAAAAGGCGUUAUAAGCCAUUGCAAGUCCUAGGCGCUUUUACCUUCUCUCCGGUUGCAUAAACUAAUUGUUCUUUGAGCAAGCCAAUCUAGAUAAUCUGGCUUCGAGCCUGUUGGAGUUUCUUUCCCUCCCGUAAGGAGAAUCUCGGACGAUCUCUUUUUUUAAAAGCAUGUAUAGGCCUAUUUUUAGAUAUUUUUUUGAUAAAAUUCUAAAAGAAAGUUUAAAUUAAAUUAAAUUUAUAAUAUAUAAAUUAAAAAUAAUAUUAUUUUAUUAUUUUAUAGGUUUAUUUUUAAUAUAUUUUCAAUUCAUAUGACCCCUCUCGUAUAUAAAAAACAAAUAAAAGGUAUUUCCUUAAAAAUAAGGAGUAAAAAACGAAAAGGAAGUUUAUAUUUCUUUGUUACUCAUUCAUCAAAUUUAUUUCUAUGAUUAAUUUAUAAUCAAAUUAAAUAACUUGCAGCGACACGUAGAUAUCAUGCUAAUUCAAUAUCAGAUCAUAAAAUAAAUUGGAUUAUUUUGUAAACUAAAUAAAAUGAUAUGAGCUAUUUUGUAGAAUCAAACCAAGCGUAUGUAUGAAAGCUAAGCACGCGCGCGCCAUUCGAAAGAACUAACUCAUUAAGUUUGGUUUACAAUUCUUGAAAACAACUCAUAUUUGGCGUUUUGUCCUUUCUUUUGUUUUUUUCAAAAUUAAAUCUUUACAUUUUUAUUUUUAUGUAAUUUAAAUUUUUACUAAUAUUAUAAGUUUAUAUAUAUAUAUAUAGUUAUAGUUAUAGUUUUGUCUUAGUCUUUUAUUAUUUGUAAAAAUUUAGGAUUUUUUUAUAAGUAUUUUUUUUAAAAAAUAGCUUAUAUCUUUCUUUCUAUUAAUUUUUAUCAAUUAAAACACAUUAUCUUAAUCAAUAUAACUGAUUUAAUUUAAAAAUUAUAAUUAAAAUUAAAAUUAAUUCGUAUCAUUUUAUUUAAAUUAAUAGUUUAUUAUUAAUCAGAGAGUUAAUGUCAACAAAAUAAAAGUACAGGGAUUUGAUGUUAUGCAAAUAAAAAUAUACGGAUUCAAUCUCAUAAAAUAAAUGUCCAAAAAUUUAAAAUUUAAAAUUUAAAAUUUAAAAAUUAUUGUUAUAUGCAUUAAGAAUGAAUGUAAUAUACACUUCUAACUACUGUUAGUAAAAGGUUUAAAUUUUAUAAAUAUAAAAAUAUAAGGACUCAAAAUCAUAGAAUGAAAGUAUAAGAACCAAAUCCGAAAAAAAAGUAAAAAUACAAAGUGUUAAGCAUUAGGUUAUUCCACAAUGUUUUAGAAUCCUAAUUGAAGAACAAAACAGAAAAGCAAAAUAGUUAAUUUAGCUAACUAAAAAAAUCAAUAGGAUUACUACCGGUUUUUCAUUAAUUAUAAAAUACUUAGAAUAUCAUAAAAAAAAUAUCAGAAAAGAAGCUAAAAGGUAUGACAAGCAUACAAAAAUAAACGUAUAAAUUAAAUAUAAAACAAUAAUUAAAUUUUUAAAAGAUGAAUUUAAUUCAUUUUCUCAGUUAAUUUCUUUUAAUAGCCUAUAGUAUAAUUUCAUGUAAAUUGAAUGUUUUGAUUGAUAAGUUUUGAUGAAUUAUGUAUUGUUUAUUUUUCUUAACAAUAAAAUAUUUUAGACCAUUACAUAUAUUUUAAAUCGGAAUAAAAUUUUUUAUCUGUAUCCUUCAAUAUUAAUAUAAAAAAAUUUAAAAUUAUAUUUUUAAAUUUUUUUAUUUAAAUUUAAUAUAUAUAUUACAGCUAAUAUAAGAGUGAUAUCUAUAAAAAUAAUUUUAUUUUAAUAUUAAAUAAUUAACAAUAUCUUUAAAUGUUAUUCUUGGUCAACGGCUAUUAUUUUUGGACCAUCUCGGAUCAAAAAAGCAGUCAGCAAAACUCCAAAAUAUUCUAAUUCUUGCUUUUCAGGAGUUGAAAAAUCUUAGCGUUUUUGUUUAUGUAUUAAUAUUGUUGAAUCUUUUGAUCCACCCAUCAUGAUAUUGAUGGCCACUGAAUUAUUUUCAAAGAUGAUUUAAGCAUUUGUAUAUGAUUUAUCAAUUGAAAUCGAACAUUAAGAAAGAACAUAAUGUAAAAGCAACAGAUGGUCCAUGAAAAUUUAUUAAUGAAAUGUAAUUAGUUAGUUGUUUAUUUCGAUUCACUGAUUGUACUUUUCCUGACAUGGUUAAUUAGACUUUCAUUAUUUAAAAUAUUUUUUUAAAUACAAAGUUUUAAAAUUAUAAUUAUCUAUUUCUAGGAUAAUUUUUUAUUAACUAUAACUGAAUUAAAUAAAAUUAAUUAUUAUAAAUAAAUUAUAUUUCUUAUAGUCAUUUAACAUACUAAAAAUAACAAUUAAUAAAAUAUUAUUAAAUAAUUUUAUUUAUUUAUUAUUAUUCAAUAAUUAUUAACUAUCGAUCACCGCCAGUACCUAACUAAAUAAAUUUUAUUUCCGACUCUUUAAUGUUACAUUUUUUUUUUAUAGUCAACCUUUACUUUAAGUAGAAAUGUCAAGUUUAAGAUUACAAAUAAAGUGAACACCACUUUAACUGUAAACUAAAAAAUAAAUACAUUUCAUUUUAAUACGAACCAUCUUCGUUAUAUCACUGAAUACUUCUGCGACUAAUUUGCCAAUCAAAGGAUUAAGCGAACUGCAACUUAUUUCUCAUCAAAUUGGAGAACAUCGGCAGCAAUAAAUAUAUAAUUCUCUCGACAUUUGUAUUGGAUGAGGACUAGAGUUCUUAUAAAACUUGUAACAAUAGAAAAUGUUUACAGUAAUAUACUGCUAUGUUCCUCCUUUAAUUUCUUUUUGGGUACAAUGUGACAAUUGAAAAAAAAUAAAAUAUAUUUUUUAAUUUAGGUUUGAGUCUGGUUUAACUAUCCAGCUUAAAAUUUUGAUUAAAUUCGGUCUACUUUAAAAAUUAUAAAAAUUUUGUUUUAUAAUUAUUAGAUUAGGUCAUAUUUAUUAGAUAAAUUUUAAAAAAAGUUAAUAUUUUUUAAAUUCGUUCAAAUAUUAUUUAAUUUUUUUAAGCUUGAAUUCGAACGAAUCUACGUCUCAGAAAAAAUUAGACGAUCUAAGUGGAUAAUAAAGUCUAUAAAAUAACCACCAAAUUUAGAAACAUAUAUUACUUACGUGGCUUGCUGCCAUCUCUACACCCACUUCCAUAUUAGUACAUACGAGAGAUUUUUACUUAAGUUUGGUGUAUACGCUACAAUUAAUAAAAUAAUAAAAAAAAUUAAUAAUUAUUCAUUUGUUAUAUAGGUGGGACAUACAUCUAACUCUAGACAAGAAUUUUGCAGUAAACAAUCUCUAAGAAGGCUUACGAUCGUGUUGAUUGGAGCUUUUUGGAGGCUAUAUUGUUAAAACUUGGUUUUGCUCCAAAAUGGGUUGGUAUGAUUAUGCUUUGUGUUUCAACAGUUUCAUAUUCUGUACUAGUAAAUGGCAGGGAGGUGGGUCCGAUCAAGGUGACCCAUUAUCACCCAAUCUAUUUAUUCUGUGUACGGAAGGUUUGUCCUCGUUGAUUGAGGACCGAAAGGACUGGAUUAAUUCAUGGUCGUAAAGAUUGGUAGAGGCGCUCUGCGGGCCUCUCAUUUACUGUUAGAGAAAGACAGCUUCUUCUUCUUCAGAGCUGAUAUUGGUAAGUGUCAAGCUAUGAAAAAUAUACUUAAUGCUGUUGAGGCAGCUUCAGGCCAAGCAGCAAAAUUUUUCUAAAUCUGGGAUUUUCUUCAGUUCCAACGUUUCUAUUUCUUAUCGGGCUGAUAUUUCUGCUUGCUUGGAAGUAUCGAAUCCUUUAAAUAUGGGGAGGUAUUUGAGAGCUCCGUCCUUGAUUGGGCGUAACAAGUAAGCUAUUUUUGCUUAUUUGAGGGAUCAAGUUUGGAAAAGAAUUAGUGGCUGGAAUGGGAGCAGGCAAGGAAAUCCUGAUAAAAACAGUUGCUCAAGCAGUUCCCAUUCAUUGUAUGAGUGCGUUUCUAAUCCCUAGCUGAUGAACUCCAACGUAUGUUAAACUCAUAUUGGUGGAGAACUAAGAAAAGUGGAGUUAGAGGUAUCAACUGGCAAAGUUGGGACAUAUUAUGUGUUUGGAAGAAUGGGGUUCCGGAAUUUCCAUUGUUUUAAUCUAGCAAUGUUGGGGAAACAGGGUUGGAAACUCAUUACUAACCCUAAUGCUCUUGUUUCUCAGAUUCUCAAAGCAAGAUACUUCCCUAGAUGGGAGUUUUUAACUUCACAACUUGGGUUUAACCCAAGUUAUACUUGGAGGAGCAUUCAGAGUUCUCGUUCAUUGCUAGAGAAAAGUUGUUGAUCGAAAGUAGGAAAUGGGCAGCGGAUUAAUGUUUGGUCUGAUGCAUGGAUUAGAAGCUUGAGUAAUUUCAGAGUCUCUAAAACGGUAAUUCAGGUGAUGAAGGAUUUGCAGAUUGCUGAUAUAUCCCUGGCUGUCUUGAAUGAGAUUAUGAGCUUAUUGAGGAUUUCUUUAAUUCCGCUCAUGUCUCAAGAGAAUUUUGCUGUCUAAUAGAGUGGUUGAGAACAGGUAUAUCUGGCACUUGUCUAAGAAUGGUCUGUAUGCUGUCAAAUCAGGUUAUAGAAUUGCUAUGGAACAAAACAACCUAGAGGCUGCUUAUAGUUGCCCUGGUGACUAGAAAAGACUUUGGAGGUUGAAUCUCCUUCCUAAAAUCAGGAAUUUCCUAUGGUGAGUGUGUAAAGAUGUCAUACCUACUAGAGAACAGCUGCAUAAUCGAGGUAUUCCUCUUCAACCUUCCUGUGUUCUUUGCAGGGGUUAGUAGAAUCAAUUUAGCACAGUUUUAAUGUCAGUUUACUAGAGACUGUUAGAGUCUUGUUAAUGUUGAUGUACAUUGUGUUUCUGCUACAACAAUCAAACAUUGGUUCUUUAGAAAGUUGGUUAUCAUGAUGCUGCUGGAAUAGGUAUAAUUGCUCUCACAAUGUGGUCUAUUUGGAAUCAGCGUAAUGCUAAACUUUGGUCAGGUUCUUGUGAGACAGCUUGGAAUCCAUCUUUGCAGCUAAGGUUGUAUUAUAUGACUGGAUGGCUGCCAGAAACAUGGUGAGCAAUAUCUCUUCUUGUUGCUAUUUUGCCGUUACAUUGGAUUCGUCCUCCUGAUGGGUAUUUAAAGUGCAACGUUGAUACUGCCUUAUUUGCUGAUAGGGCUAUUUCUGGGAUUGAUAUGGUUAUUAGAGACAGUGCAAGCAGGUUUAUUAAGGGAUCUACUCGGUGGUUUUCUGGUAUAUGGGAAGUCAAGGAAGUUGAAUGCAUUGUCUUAAGGGAACCUCUCAACUGGGAUGUUUUACUAGAGUUGCAAAAUGUAAUUUUUGAUGUGGAUGCUGAAGCUGUGGUGGAUGUUAUUCAGUCUAGAUCGUCUGACGUUUCUGAAUUUGGUGUUUUCAUCAAGGACUGUUUAUCUUUUUUAGCUGAUAAUUUAAGUUUCCAAGUGUGGUUUGUUAAACAACAAGCUAAUGUGGUUGCUCAUAAGCUAGCCAGAGCAUCCCAUUUGUUUGGUAGUGGCGUUGAUUGGGAAGAGCCGCCCUCCUUUGUUAGUGAGCUAUUGUCCUUUGAUGUUUUUGUUUCCCAUUAAUGAAAUGUGUUUGUUGAUAAUAAAAAACCCAUUAACAAUAUGUUCACCAAAAAUGAAUUCAUCAACAAAAAAACCUAUUAAUAUAAUAAAUUGAAUCAAUAUCAUCAAGUUUUAUUUGAAAAUGAAACCAAAAAAGGGAAAAAAAAAACAUAAAUUAAAUUAGUGGAAUAUGUGAAAAUUAUAUCAUCACCCAAAUGCCCAAUAAAUUGAACAGAAUUAUAUAAAUCUUGAAACUCAAACAUAAUUCAAAAUGAAAUUAAUGGAGAUGUAGGAUAAGGAGGUACUGAAGAUAAAUUCAACAUCAUGCUCGGCUGCAAAUACCAUCUAAUGGUUGAGAUUGUGUCAUUCUUGAAUGGAAGAGUUAUUUUAAAAAAAGGAUAAUGUUCAAUAAGUUCUAAAAUAUUUUGGUCAAUUAAUGUAAUUUUAAGGAUAAGCAAUAUUUUAACUAUUAAAGAAUAUAAUAAAUCUACUCAAAUCUGUUUGAUUGAAUCAGAUAGGCGUUUUAAAUUUUUUGAUUUUUUAUGGAGUCAUAUGGAAUAAUGCUAAUAUACAAUGACUUGGCUCCUCUUAAUAAAAUUUGAGUUUAGAGUUAGGAUUUUGUUAUAAAAUUUAAAAAUUAAAAAUUAAAGAAUAAUCCUUUUCAAGUAGAGAUAUUGUUCAUACAACAUCUAGAUUCUCUCUUUCUUUUAUUCUAUUGUUUUAUUUUCUCUUUCUCUCUAUUUUUCCAUCUUCGACUUUUCUAAUUCAUUCUCUCUUCUUCUCUGUCACUAAAUAUUUUUAUGUUCUUUAAGAUAUAUGAAUUUUUUCUAAUUUUUUUGUGUGUGCACUUUUCUGAUUUAUUUUUGAAAUGAAAAUUAACUCAUUGGGUCAUUUAAAUUUUUAAUGAAUUCAUUUUCUAUUUUAUCUUCUUCAAAAUCGGUAAUCUAGUAUAUCUUUCCUUACGUAGCCAGUACUUUUGUCUUCUCCUUCUCCUUCUUCAUUGUUCAUUGCAUUUGGCUUACCAUGGCUUCCAUCACCACCUUCCAUCAAACUGUUGUCAUCACUAAAUCCAAAUAUUUCAUCCACCAAUUGAUUUUUGUGUCGGUUAUUAAGAAUGUUUUGAUAAUUUAACUUUUAAUUUUCAAAAUUGAUCCAUUAGCAGCAACUUAUAGAAUAUAUAUAUUAAUUCUAUUUGAUUUAACAGUUGACUAACCAUAAAAAUUAAUGGAAGACUGAAUAUAGUUAUUAUUACAUAGAUUAAAAGAGAAAUAAUAUAAUUUAAGAACAUCAAUAGGAUAUUAGUAUAAUAUGUUAUAAUUUAAUGGAGUGGAUAUAGCUAUUAUUAUAAAAAAUAAAAAUAGAAAUAAUUUAUUUUAAGAAAAUCAGUGGGACAUUAGUGUAAUAUGCUAAAAUCUUGAGGGAUUUAACGGCUAAUAAUUAAUAGUUGGUAGUUGAUUCUCCUAUAAUAUUAUAACUGUUUUUCUUUUUUCCUCAAUUGAGCCUAUCCUUUGCUUAGUUUAGGGACAAAUUAUAAGCCCAAAUAUAUGCCUACCGAGUCGAAAGAAGAAAAUAAAGCCCUGUAAUCAGCAUGAGAAGAAAAUAUUUAGACUUGUAGCUUUGAGAAAACAAGACACUGGUUUUGUACCAAAAGAAAAUAGAAGUUUGAAAUCCAAACUUUAGAAGGUAAUGUUGAAGAAAAUUUGCGCAAAUGCCUCACUGUCUUGAAUAGAAUCACCACUGGAAGGAAGAUCAAUGAGCACUUAGACAGCAUACGUUCUUCUUGUGCAUAUAGAGUUAUAGAAGUAGACUUGGUCACAGUUCAUGAACCAUCGAUUCCGAUUUAGGAACCACGGGUUCAUGAUUCCAUAACUCUUAGAGUCAGUCCGGUUGGUUCUAAUCAGUGUAAAAGAAAACGAAUUAAUUGGCUUGAACUUACCGAAACUUUUUAUUUACCUCCUUAUCAUUAAUCACUGCUUAAGCCGAAAGUUGAAGUUUCAUUGGUCGUGAGGUCUAAUAAUUCUUCAUUUUCUUUCUUUACAAAUUCUUAUUGCCUUAAUACUGCUUUAGUCCAAUCAUCAAUACAUGCUUGAGCUUCCAAUAAUUCAGGGUCAUGGAAGAUCGUAUAUCAUCCAAUAUAUUUCCUCCUACACUAAAAGCUUGUUCUAGAGCAACUGUUGAGACUGGACUUGCUAAAAUUUGUUUAGCAAUUUGUGAUAGGACAAGAAAAAUAUUUUGGUAUCGACUCCACCACUUAAAAACUGAAAACUCUUUACCUAUUUCGCUAUCUUUAAACUCAAAUAUAGUUGUUAAACAUAUGUCAAGUUCAGAAGGUGAACCAGAUGAUUCCUUAGGUCUUUUAUGUCUUUGCAUCAAAAUACUAUUACCCUUACUAAUUUUAGUUGGUUCACUUUGAACUUGACUAGUAAUAGAAGAUGUAGUAAUAUCAAUAGAUGAUAAUUGAUAAAUUAAAUUAAAUUUCAUAAAUAAAUCAACUAUUGUCUUUUUAAUAUCAUCGAUUAUUCUAUCAAUAUAAAUUAAUUAAUCUCAUAAAUUAAUUACCAUGAAUGAAUUGAACUUUGCAUUUUUUUUUUAAAAUGUACUUGAAAUAUUUCAGAUUUAUAUUGCAUAUUCUCUCCUCUUCCUCCCUCUUGCUUUUGUUGUAAAUUUAUUGCUUCUUCUUGAUCAUCCACUAUUCUUUCCAAUCUUUCUUCACUUUCUUGAGUUGAAUAAUCAUAUUGUGAUUCACCAAAAUAUUGGCUUCUACUACUAUAACUAUAAUUAGCCUAUUAAAUAUAAAAUAGAAAGAGAUAUUAAUUAUUAAUUUAUUUUAAAAAAUUUAUAGAAAUUAGAAUAUAAAAGACAAUGUUAAUAGAAAAAUAAGAUAGUAUUUGUGUGAAGAAUUUUUAUGUAAAAAAGAAAUUGAACAUAAGUGAAAAAAAAAAGAUUAAAAACGAAAAAUAGUAAAUAAGGAAAAGAUUAUUGUGAAAUAAACAAAUAAUAUAAGAAAAAAAAUAUGAAGUAUGAGUGAAUAGUUAAAAAAGAUUAGUGAAAUAUGAUAAUAUUUUUUUAAUGAAUUAUAAGGAAAUUGACCAUAUAGUAAUUUGAGAGAGAGAGAGAGAGAGAGAGAGAGAGGUGACCUUUAUAAAGAACUGCACUAAAUAAACCUUAUAGCAACCGAUAAACAUUAAGGUCAAAAUCAAGCGCUGGUAACGUGUAAAAUGGGUCCAAGUCUAUAAUUAGGUUUUUUAUUAAAAACAGAAGUCUAAAGUCGUUAAAAUCAACCGUUGAUAACCGCCAUUUUUGAAAAACGAAUUGCCUUAGACCUUUCCUUUCAACUAUUAAAGAAUUUCUUUUUUUCUUCCAGGCCAGAAAAAGGAAAUUCCAAAAGAUCCAAUCUGAAAUUGAUUUUCUUUUUAAUGCAGACUUUUACUUUCUUAUGUAGAGUCUCCUUUUCUUUAUUGGGUCGGGCCUUCCUAUUACAAUUCUAUUUCUUAAAAGUUCCUUUAAAACAAAACUUUUUAUUUUUAAUUUUUCUUUAUGUUGAAAUCUUAUUCAAAAGACUGAUGAUGUAUGUAUAUACACAUAAUUGAAAAGGUAAUUAUUGUCUUUUACUAUAUUCUUAAUGCUAAUAUUGCUCAUUAAUGGAAUCAUAUUUAUUAUAAUUGAAGAAAGAAAAAUAUAUAAAUAAAUAAAUUAAAAAGAAAGAUAUAUACCGAAAAAAACAACUUAUGAGUUAUGUUUCCGAAUAACAAAAACUCUUAUUUCACUUGUAUAAUAAUUUUAAAAUAACAAAUACCAGUAACAAGAGAUGUAAAGAAAAUGAGAGCAAUUACAUUCUUAAUUGAGCUUACACAAAGUUGUGCACUAUACCUUCUAUAUCAGUUUUUAUUCUUAUUUUAAUAGAUUAACUAUGUAGAUAAUAUUUUUUUAUUUUACUUUAAUUACUUGAUUGUCGGGACAAAAAAGAAAAUCCGGAGCCACUCAAUUUCUGUUCAACAAUCUGAUCCAAACGAGCGCCCAUUUCUUCAGUAAAAUAAUUUUUCCAAUCUCCACUUGUACCUUUUCGAUAGAACAAACUAUUUUUUAUGAUAAAUUGAGAAUCUGGACGGAAAGCACCAUCUUUUGUCGCCUUUGAAUUCUUCAAACUCUCAAAACUACAUAAAUCAAUAAUUUGUUGCACUACUCCUUGGCUCUCUUCCUCUGGAGUAAAAGGAUAUCCAAGAAAGUCAGCUAGCUUCUUGACAUUAGAAAUAGUAUCCUCCUUCAAAUCUUCAUACUUCAAGAAUAAGACCUUUUCAGGAUAUUCUUGACUUGCAUUCCAGUACCCUGCAACAUGAUCCCAGUAAGGUCCAUUUAGAGCAACUCCUUCGCAAAAUGACUCAAAAGAAUCGCCCAUAUUGCAAUAUGCAUCUUUGUCGAUUCCUUCGGGUAACCUUGCCCUCAAGAAAUGCCACAUUGAUACUAACACAUCCUUAGGAUCCCUGCAAAAAUACACCAUUUUGCAUCCCAAUGUUGUUAUAGAAGUUGGCAAGGAAUUAUAAGGAAUAUGUGUAGCAACAAGUGGAUUUUCUGUAUCACGAGAGUAAGUUUCUCUUGUACCAAUUUCAAUUUCUAUAAAAGGUACACAAUCAUGUGGUGUAGAUGUUAAUAAAGGGGUUUCAGAAAUGCUAUAACGAGAACGUGUAGUAAUAGCAAAAGCUAAAGCCUUAAGCCAAGUUGUGCCAGUUUUAGGGUAAGUACAUAGGAUAAUAUCAUCAGGCUGAGCUUGAAAUUUUUCCUGGGCAGCUAAUAUUGCCUCUAGGUAAAUGGUGAAGUACCAAAACCCUUGGUAUUGGUGAAGAGGCAUGAAUUUCCAGUCAUUUCUUGUGGGUAGGGUUGAGAUAAGCUCGCUGUACUUGCUUUGAGGCAUGGAAAUUUGUGGUCCUCCUUCCUUGUCUUCAUGGACAAGUGGGAGCGCAUUGGGUAAUCUCGACUGUCGAGAUUGCACAAUACUAGACACCCUCUGUUGGGAACCCCCCCAUUGUGGAACCGACAUAGGGCGUAUGGCAAUAUUUUUCGAGGGUUGUGAUGAAGCUACGAUAUUUCUUGGGGCUACAUUUAUGACUCGGCCAUAAACAAGAUCCAUUUGGGAACAAGAGAAAAAGAAAUUUAAGGUAGUAAGCUUUGAUGAAAUAGGAAGCAAAUGAUUAAUGGAGGUUGUGAGAACGGAGUCUGAAAGGAUCCUAUAUUUAUAUUGCAGCCACAGCCUCUCUUUUUUCUAGUGGCAGAUCCUUUUUAGACUUCAGGCCGCCUUAAUUGAAUGAGAAACGACUUAUAAAAUAAUGAAAGUUCGUCAACCGCUUGGAUACUUCCUUCCAAUCUUUCCUGAGGCUCCAUCAUAUUCUAUAGAACCAAUUUUGGUACGAACUGUAAUGAAUUUUCAAACUUCUGAAGGGCCCAUUGUCGCCGUCAAUCAACCUGUCAUUAGAAAAAGUAAAAAAAAAAAAAAGAAGAAGUGUAAGUUGUUAUUAAUUAUAAUGCAUAGUUGAUUGCAUAAUCUUGACUGGGUUUCUCUUUUCUUUAUUUAUGAUACCUCUCUUUCAUGCUACUAAUAGCAAUUUCAUCUCUCCCUCUUUUCUAUUUUUUAUUUUCCUCUUUAUAAACUUUAUUGCAAAAAUAUACAAUUUUUUUUGUUCUUCCCAGUGAUAGCCUCUCAACAUAAAUCUGAACCAUUUAAAAUAAAACAUAAAAAGAAUUCGAUUUUCUCUGUUAACCAAAUAAUAAUUGUAGUCUUUUUGUUCAAGUUCGUAAAUGUUAAGGUUUUUUAGCUCAUAAACUUGACAAAAUUCUUCUUUUUUUUUUUUUUCCUUUUAAUGGUAUAAUAUUUUUGGAUCAAAUACAUUAAUUAAAAUAAAAUUCUUCAUUGACCUAAAAAAGUCAAAGUAAACCAUUCAAAUAUUAUAUUUUAGAAUAUAUUUUAUUGUUAAAUCUUGAGCAGGUCUAUAUUUGAAACGAAUCAUACAUCUUCCUUAUUGUUUGCCGGCUCGAUUACUCAUUAGUCAAUUUGACAAUUUUUGGAGAUCGCCUUGUGAUUUGUUCAAUAGAUCAUGGCCGACACCAAAUUAUUUUGAAUGAUUUAUCUUGAUGAUUUAUUCAUUUUAAAGAUCUUGAUAAUUUAUUAGUUGAAAUAAAACAGUAAGGGAGAAAAGAAUGUAAAUUAAAGAAAUGUAAUUAGUUAGUUAUUUAUUUGGAUGCUGACUGAUUGUACAUUUUGUAACAUUGGGUUAAUUGGGCUUUCAUUGACUACAGUUCUUUUAAAUGCACAGUUUUAAAAUCAGUAAUUAAUUCUAAAAAGUUUUAGUGCGAAACAUAGAUAUAGGACUGAACUAAUAUAUGUUUGUUGCUGAUAUUUCUCCUUAAAUUACAUUUCGUUCUAAUUGAUAUCUUCAAUUUCAAAUUGUUUGCAAUAUGCCAAGACCCAAUUCACACCUAGGAGCUCUUUCAGAGAAAAUUAAAACAGGAAAGUUAGAUAGAAGUGGAGGAAGCUUCGCAGACGUGACGUGAAGGAAUUAAGGUUUACUUUCUGGGGAGUAAUGCUAUGAAAUUCAACUUUGUUUAUCUUUUUUUUUUUUAAUCUAUAUAAUAUGGCAAUUAAUAUUCAUAUUUUAAAAGCAAGAAAUAUAUUUAUAAUAGUAUUAAAUAGUAUAUCAGGCGGGUAAAAGAUAAAAAAAAAAGUGGGAGGACAAAUUGUGCAUUGUAAGGUUAUAGCUUAGCAAGGACAAUCUUGCAAGGGAAAUGGGGAAAUAUACCCAAACAUAGAAUCGUGGGGGAAUGGUUACUUCCUGGUGCUCCAUUAAUAUCAUAAGCAAAAAAUGAAGAAACCUUGUUAAUUCCAAUAGCAACAACUACUCUUACUCUAUUUACUUUCAUUUUCCAGCAUUAACAUUCAAUCCCCUUAUGUUUUAAACUUUGAUUUUCUUUCUUUUAGUUUCCAAGUUCCUUAUGCAUUUUUAAUUUCUUUUCUUGUCAAAUUUUUUAGUAAAAAAUUUGAUUAAUUUAUUUUUCAGCACAUUUAACCAAAAUCAGAAUGCUAUUUAGAUUUUUCUGUAGUUCAUCAAUCAUUUUAUUAGAAGUCAAAUACGUACACAUCAAUUCACUUAAUUAAUUAUCACAUACUUCUAACAUGCUCUAGCAUCAAUUCUUACAAAAAAAGCAAAAAAUAUGGAAACAGGAAGAAAUAUCAAAAUAAAAUUCUUAUUUUCACUUGCACGACAAUUUCAAAACAACAAAUAUCAAAUAAGAUGAAAAACAGAAAGAUUAAAAAAGCCAAAUAACUCCUAAGGGAGCAUACAUAAAGAGCUGUGCACGCCUACAUCAAUUUUUAUUCUUAUUUUGAUAGAUUAGUUUUUGUUUUAUUUUUUUUUUAAAACUAAUCACUUGAUUACUGAUAUAGAAAAGAGAAGCCAGAACCACUCAAUUUCUCUUCAACAAUUUGAUCCAAAUGAGCUCCCAUUUCUUCAGUAUAAUAAUUCUUCCAAUCUCCGGUUUUACCUUUUCUAUAGAACAGACUAUUUUUCAUGACAAAUGCUGAGUUUUCAGCAUAAGCACCAUCUUUAGUCGCCUUUGAAUUCUUUAAACUCUCAAAACUACACAAAUCAAUGAUCUGUUGCACUACUCCUUGAUUCUCUUCAUGUGGAGUAAAGGGAUAUCCAAGAAAAUCAGCUAGCUUCUUAACAUUAGAAACUGUGUCCUCCUUCAAAUCUUCAUACUUUAAAAAUAAGACCUUUUCAGGAUAUUUUUGACUUGCCUUCCAAAAUCCAGCAACAUGAUCCCAGUAAGGUCCAUUUAGAGCAACUCCUUCGCAAAAUGCUUCGAAGGAAUCGUCCAUGUUGCAAUAUGCAUCUUUGUCAAUUCCUUCAGGUAAUCUUGCUCUCAAGAAGUGCCACAUUGAUACCAAAACAUCCUUAGGAUCCCUGCAGAAGUAUACUAUUUUACAUCCCAAUGUUCCUACAGAAGUUGGCAAGGAAUCAUAAGGAAUAUGUGU
rnacentral:lncRNA from 1 species